rnacentral:lncRNA from 1 species
GUCAGGUGCAGAGCCAAGUACAGAGAACAGGACUGUGAAGACAGUAUCUGGAGGAUCUGACCCCUAUUAGCAUAGCCUGGAAACAGCUGGACCAGGGAGAAUAGGGCCCAGGCACUGUGAACACACAUGUGUCCCCAGUCCUCAUCAUGGCCACUUGUCUAGACUCCAGAAUCUAAACACUCAAAACCAAGACAUAAGUUCAGAGACAAAUUAAGCUAGUAUUAAUAUUACAGAAAUAAGAGUUUUAUGACCCUAAAACAUCAACUAGAGACAAUAUAAACCAGUCUGACCAACAGACCCAGGCAAACAUGUCUGAAUUAAAUUUUGAAGAUGUUUUUAUUUUAUUUUACUAAUAAUUUUUAAACUAGCUUUAUUUAUUAAAGAUUUCUAAAAUCACACUAACUUGAAAGUAUUUGGACAUACUUACGUUAUGAGUACUUAUUAAUUUAUGUCAAUCUGGUACCAUGUACACAAUAUGCAAACACAGACAUGUACAUAUGUGCACAGAAAAAUACACAAAUAUAGAUUUUGUAGCUUUCGUUUAAAAAUUUUAGCCGUGAAACAGGUAAAACUCACUAGUUUAAAAGGAUAGUUAAAUUUUGCCUCUGUAAAUGGAAUGGGUUAAAGUUUGUUCCACAUGGCUAGAAGCCCUUAUCACAUUUUGGAGUAAACAAGGUAGCAAAUUUACAUAUUAAAACACAGAGAGAAUUUAAGCUCUUUAAAGAAGUUUGGGUAUAUUAAAGGAAGAUUAAAAAUGGGUAUCAAGGUAAAAUCAUAGGAAUAAAAAUAAAUCAUAAGAAUUUACCAUAAGAUUUUACAAGGAAACCAAUUUUAUUUAUCAGUUAGUUUUAAAUUUAGUCUUCAUUUUCCAACUAGGCCACUGAGCUCAGGGCAGAACCCAAUAACAAACGGAGCGAAAAAAGCAUAUGUAGUUUUCAGGGACUGCUGUGGUUUGUUUAUCCCCACGAAGUCUCAUGUUGAAAUUUGAUUUCUAACAUUGGAGGUGGGGCCUGAUGGCAAGUGUGUGGAUUGUGGAGGUAAAUCCCUCAUGGAUGGCUUGGUACCAUUCUCAUGGAAGUAAAUGAGUUCUCUAACCCUUUGUUCCUGUGAGAACUGGUUGUUGAAAAGAGCCUGGCACCUUCUCCUCUCUCUUGCUUCAGCUCUGUCACCAUGUGAGCUCUGUACAUGCCAGCUCCCUUCCUUUUCUUUUUCUUUUUUUUUUUUUUUUUGAGACAGAGUCUUGCUCUGUCACCCAGGCAUGCAGUUGCACGAUCUUGGCUCACUACAACCUCUGCCUCCCAGGUUCAAGCAAUUCUCCUGCCUCAGCCUCCCAAGUAGCUGGGAUUACAGGUGUGUGCCACCCCACCUGGCUAAUUUUUGUAUUUUUAGUAGAGAUAGGGGUUUCACCAUGUUGACCAGGCUGAUCUCGAACUCCUGAACUCAGGUGAUCCGCCUGGCUUGGCCUGCUGAAGUGCUGGGAUCACAGGUGUAAGCCACCACACCCCGCCUACCCUUCCUUUUUUACUAUGAGUGGAAUCAGCCUAAAGCCAUUGUGAUGGUUAAUAUUGAGUGUCAACUUGAUGGGAAUUGAAGGAUGCAAAGUAUUGUUCCUGAGUGUGUCUGUGAGGGUGUUGCCAAAGGAGAUUAACAUUUGAGUCAGUGAACUGAGAGAGGCCACCCCACCCUCAAUCUGAGUGGGCACCAUGUAAUCAGCUACCAAUGUGGCUAGAAUAAAAGCAGGCAGAAGAACGUGGAAGGACUUGACUUGCUGAGUCUUCCAGCCUUCAUCACUCUCACAUGGUGGAUACUUCCUGCCCUUGAACAUCGGACUCCAAGUUCUUCAGCUUUUGGACUCUUGGACUUACACCAGUGGUUUGCCAGGGGCUCUCUGGACUUUGGCCACAGACUGAAGGCUGCACUGUUGGCUUCCCUGCUUUUCAGAUUUUGGGACUUGAACUGGCUUCCUUGCUCCUCAACUUGCAGAUGGCCUAUUGUGGGACUUCACCUUGUGAUUGUGUGAGUCAAUACUCCUUAAUAAACUCUCCUUCCUAUAUACAUCUAUCCUAUAAGUUCUGUCCCUCUAGAGAACCCUGACUACUACAGCCAUCAUCAGAAGCAGAUAGUAGAUCCAUGCUUCAUGUGCAGCCUCCAGAAUGAUGCCUUGGAUGAUCCUUUGAAGGAAGAUCAUUUAGUCCAAUUUAAUGAAACCGAUAUCCUUCGCGUACUGACGGAAACACUGGGGGCACAUAUUGAGGCCAUAUUUCUGGAUCAGACCCUGCCGGUUUGAACAGACGCGACAAGAGCGAGAACCCUGGCCGAAUUUUCGCGGGUGGCUCCAGUACAGCUGCUGGUGACCCACCUUGCUCUCAGGAGUGCAAUGAGGAACCUUGACAUUAGUUUCACCUCUCCUCUGGGGCUGAGAGAUGGGAAAGAAGCGUCAAGAACUUGAACAGAAAUCCAGCUCUCAGUACAUUGCAAGACGAGGUCUCACUAUGUUGCCCAGGCUGAUCUUGAACUCCUGGGUUCAAGAGAUCCACCCAUCUCAGCCUCCCAAAGCGCUGGGAUUACAGGUGUGAGCCACCGUGCCCAGCCCUGAUGCAUUUUCUGAAAGCUCUUCAGAAGCAAGUAAAUUGCUAAAGUAUUGUGUCUCCUAAAACGUUCAUGGAAAGGAUAGAAAGGACCCUGACAUCAUUUGCGCUGGAAACCCUGAGACAAAGUCAGAAAGAUCUGGAAAGACCUGCCAGAGGAAAUCUGCCACCCCUCUGGACUAGGAGACUUCAUCUACAUAAAAGUGGGCUGUCACCAUGCUGGGAGGGACCCUUUAAAGUGCUGUCGAUGACCCAUAAGGCUAUCAGUGCAAAAGGCAAACUGCUGAAUCCAGGCUUCCUAUGUGAAGCUAGCACCACAGGACAGGGCCUGGGAGUCAUCUUUUUGAAAUGCAAACAUCACGGAAGAUAGUGUCCCUAUCUCAGGUAAGAGCCUAACUUGGUGGGCUCCUUGCUCCAAUUUGCAAAACUACCUUCUGUCAUAAAGAUAUGGGAAGUUUGUUUUUCUCCAAAUAAAGCCAACACAGGUGGUCUCCCCAAUUACCAAAAUAAAGUUAGGACAAACUCUGUGUGACAAAAGGUGUUGUCAAGUCCUCUAACUUGAGGACUAGUGAUUGUUAAUCUUGAGAACACGUAUGCACUGGGGUGUAUCUGCUGCCUAUGUAAGGGGAUGAGAUUCCUUUCUGUCUUUGGAAUCUCUUGGCAAUUGCCUGUGAGACCCAUCACAUCCUGGUUUAUGGUUAUUCAAUAAUAAAAGUGGCUUGCAUAAGAGCGUGAAGGAUAAACUUAAAAGAAAACUAACAGUAAAGGUGGUUUGUUUCUCUACUACCUUUGUGGAGAAGAUUUCUGGUUAAUUAUAUUUCCCCC